rnacentral:tRNA from 1 species
GGGAGUAGCUCAGUUGGUAGAGCACCGGUCUCCAAAACCGGGUGUCGCAGGUUCAAGUCCUGUCUCCC